GACAGAGGUUGCAAACGUUGUUCGGAAUUACUGGGCAUAAAGCGCACGUAGGCGGUCCGUUAAGUCAUGUGUGAAAUCCCCCGGCUCAACCGGGGAAUUGCGCCUGAUACUGGCGGGCUAGAGAUCGAUAGGGGUGAGCGGAACUCCAGGUGGAGCGGUGAAAUGCGUAGAUGUCUGGAGGAACACCGGUGGCGAAAGCGGCUCACUGGAUCGAAACUGACGCUGAGGUGCGAAAGCUAGGGUAGCAAACGGG
rnacentral:rRNA from 1 species